GGCAACACUCUAUUCAGGGAUGCUUCUUCUCGGUUUUACUCAAACACUUCCGUUAACAUGUAUUAUUCUUUGUGCUUUAACAAUACCAGUGGGAAAACUCGUAGUUAGCUAUGUGGAGAAGAACCAUAAGGACAAAGCAAAGAUCUUUAUGGCAAAGUAUUACUGUGUGAGACUUCAUGCUCUAUUUGGAGUGGCUCUGGCUGCUGGCUUGGUAGCUGCUAAAAUGGUUGCUAGAUAUCCUGUUCCAAAACCAAUAUAGGAUUCAUCAGGAAUACACAUUGUCGCUGAGAGACCUGAAAAGCAUCAAGGAGCAAUUUCUUUUACAAACUCAGUCUCUUUUGAAUUCAAAUUACAAGAUGAACUUUCUACAGAAGGGAAUGGAAAAAAGAUUCAAAGCUUCUUGGCAAUAGCCUGCCCGGGCCGGGGGGCAUAUUGUUAAGCUAAUUUAUAUCUGAUAAUAUCUUUAUAUGUAUUAUUCUAUGGCAGAUGGAUCUGAUAGCUAAGUUAACCAUAAAAAUAUCGUGGAUUACAAGGACAUUUUGGUAGAGA
rnacentral:misc_RNA from 1 species